CAGUCGCCACGGUAAUACGAAGGGGGCUAGCGUUGUUCGGAAUCACUGGGCGUAAAGCGCACGUAGGCGGACUUUUAAGUCAGGGGUGAAAUCCCAAGGCUCAACCUUGGAACUGCCUUUGAUACUGGAAGUCUUGAGUUCGGGAGAGGUGAGUGGAACUGCGAGUGUAGAGGUGAAAUUCGUAGAUAUUCGCAAGAACACCAGUGGCGAAGGCGGCUCACUGGCCCGAUACUGACGCUGAGGUGCGAAAGCGUGGGGAGCAAACAGGAUUAGAUACCCGCGUAGUCCCUGUCUCUUAUAC
rnacentral:rRNA from 1 species